AUGGACCUGGGACCUGACAGUGGCUUUGCUGCAAGGUGUACAGUUUGCUCCUGUGACCUCUCUGGACUGCGAUGGUUGGUGAACACGCAACCAAAGCAACAACACAGGCGCAGUAACUCCUUCGUGGAGACUGCUUCCAUUUUCACAAUGUCCAGCUCCACGCUAGAGCUUCGGGGAAAGGGACCGAGGAAGUGACUGGUUCGCCAACUGAAACUACAAAUCCUAGAGCUGCAACUAUAUUUUAUAAAUGGCCCUCGUUUGGUUCCUGCAUAA
rnacentral:lncRNA from 1 species